ACAAUAGGAAACGUUGGUUAUAUUACCAAGGCUUUGACUGGAAUGACAUUUUUGAGAGAAACAUAUAGGCUCAGAUAUGACAAGACAGCUCUUUGGGAACAAAGAUUGGACUUUCUGGAAUAAAGCCACUUGGAAAUAUUGGCCUGGUACCUUGUUUACAGAGAUUCCAGCAAUAUUACCCGGUAAGUAAGGAAGCUAACUUAUCUGGCAGGUGCCUGGAACCUCGAAAUAUUUUUGAGGACUUUGAGAAGAAUCCACCCAAAUCUGUAGGUAUUACAGGCAAAAUCUGAUGGCAAGUCUUUGGCUUGGCUUUCCUGGCCUUGAGAAGCCUUUAAAGUUCAAUCUCAGAUUCCUUAUAAAAAGUUCCAGCAAAGCAGAUUUAAAAGAGCCUAUAUGAUCAAUGGCUAUUCUUGCUGCACUUAUGUAAAUAAUUGGGUCAAGUUUAUUGAAAUUAAACUUAUUUUGCAAACCAAUUAGUCUUAAUUUGGUUAUCUUUGGUAAAAAUGGGGGUGAUUUUAGAGAUAAAAAUUAUGUUUCAAUAAAAAACUAUAAUACACAUUUGUGAAUAUUAGAUCCUAAUUCUGUUAAUUGUCCUUGAGGGUUUUUCUACCUGUGAACUGGACAGGAUCCUGAAUUCUUCUAGUCUCCUGAAAUAUCUGGCUACAAAUCUCCAAACUAACAUUUUCAAUUUUUUCCCUCAUUUUCAUUUGGAAUCAUUGAGAAUUGAACCUGCCCUUUUUCCUGAAGCCUUGCAAAAUGAAGCUGAACAACUUGAUACAAACUUGAGAGAUUCCUGUCUGUUGCCAUGUAAGCUGUAAGCCACUCAGAAAGAUACCGGAGUGCCUGAUGACAUCAUCAGAGACAUUUCAAGCUGCAAAAGACGCUUCAACUCUGACAUCUAGAAAUUUUCUUGACUGGCUGCCCCCUGGGCUCAGGAACUGGUUUAUAAUUUGCUCCAACCAUUAACCUUGUUUUUUCCUUUUUAUUUCCAUAGAAAUACUUCUUAUUGGGGCUGGCCCAGUGGCGCAGCGGUUAAGUGUGCACAUUCCGCUUCUCGGCGGCCUGGGGUUCACCGGUUCGGAUCUGGGGUGUGGACAUGGCACCACUUGGCACACCAUGCUGUGGCCUAACUUUGGGAGGCCAUCUGCAUCACCACCUUCUAAAAUGAAUUUAACUGGACUGAUCUAUUAUCAGGACUAAGAAAUAUGUUCAGUGAGAUGAAACAAUCUACCACUCAGCUUCUGGACUAUGAAACUUCUUAAAGUUUCAAAGGACUGUCAAACUUAAAAGUUUCAAAGGUGGGACAGUGGGGGACUGGAAUUGGUCACCCCAAGAUAUGUCUCUUUGGCAUGAGGAUUAUUUUGGGCUGGUUACUUUUAAAAACUGCAAACAUGAAAGAAAGUCAGAAAAGUAGAAGUUACCCUUUGUUAAGAGACAUUUACAUUUGUAAAGGAAAUCUCCCUCUCUGUAAAGUUGUCUCCCUCUGUGUACUGGGAAGAAGGGGGGAUGAACUUAUCUCUAGAAACUCUUAUCAAUGCAGAAGGCAAGGACUUAAAUCCAUGUAAUAACCUUACUCUUGUUUACUGUGCUUUUCUGGUAAUCUCCUGUAACUGACUCCCUCCACCCCCAUCCUCCUCCUUUGUCUUUAGCAGAGGAUGGUAUUUAAGGUGAGAGCAU
ensembl:lncRNA